rnacentral:rRNA from 1 species
CCCCUAGACGUUCUGGGCUGCACGCGCGCUACAAUAAUACGCACAGCGAGUAUCACCGAGCUCGAAAGGGCAAGGUAAACAAUAGAAAAGGUACUGUAAUGGUUAUAGAUCCUUGUAAUUAUUGAUCUUCAACGAGGAAUUCCUAGUAAGUAUGUGUCAUCAUCACGCACUGAUUACGUCCCUGCCCUUUGUACACACCGCCCGUCGCUCCUACCGAUUGGGUGGGCCGAUGAAACUCUCGGAUGUAGGCUAUUCAUAGCCCGCAGAAGAGAUUUGAAUCGUAGCGCUUAGAGGAAGGAGAAGUCGUAACA